AUUGAACGCUGGCGGCAGGCCUAACACAUGCAAGUCGAACGAGUGGCGGACGGGUGAGUAAUGUCUGGGAAAAUGCCCGAUGGAGGGGGAUAACUACUGGAAACGGUAGCUAAUACCGCAUACCAUCGGAUGUGCCCAGAUGGGAUUAGCUUGUAGGUGAGGUAACGGCUCACCUAGGCGACGAUCCCUAGCUGGUCUGAGAGGCUGAUCAGGCACACUGGAAAUGAUAGAAGGUCCAGACGCCUACGGGAGGCAGCAGUGGGGAAUAUUGCACAAUGGGCGAAAGCCUGAUGCAGCCAAGACGCGUGGAUGAAGAAGGCCUUCGGGUUGUAAAGUACUUUCAGCGGGGAGGCGUUACCCGCAGAAGAAGCAACGGCUAACUCCGUGCCAGCAGCCGCGGUAAUUC
rnacentral:rRNA from 1 species